GACGAACGCUGGCGGCGUGCCUAAUACAUGCAAGUAGGACGCAGUUGCGAACGGGUGAGUAACGAGUAGGUAACUACCUAUUAGAGGGGGAUAACUAUUGGAAACGAUAGCUAAUACCGCAUACUAGUAGAUGGACCUGCGUUGUAUUAGUUAGUAGGUAGGGUACUGGCCUAACUGGGGAACGAUACAUAGCCGACAGGAGGGGGGGGUCGGCCCGCCUUAGAGUGGGACACGGCACAGACUGCUUCGGGAGGCAGAAGUAGGUAAUCUUCGGCAAUGGGGGGAGACCUGACCGAGCAACGCCGCAUGAGUGAAGAGGGAUUUCGGAUCGUAAAGCACUGUUGUUGAGGAAGCGGUACUUAUACAGAAAGGGACGGCUAACUACGUGCCAGCAGCCGCGGUAAUUC
rnacentral:rRNA from 1 species